rnacentral:antisense_RNA from 1 species
AUAGUCAGCUAACUCCCCGGGACCUGCUUUGGAUCCCUGGAGGGCUGAGGAUUGAAUUCAGGAGCCUAGGGAUUCUCCGGGUCCUGCAGGCAGAGCUCCAACUGGUGGGUGAAAGUUACAAGGAGGCAGGUUUCUGAAGGAAGCCCUGUGUAAUAAUCAGAGCUGCCCAGCCUGUAUCUAAAAGUGGUCAAGAUGCGGGCUGAAGCGUCACGGGUCAGGAAUGCUGCACAGGAGAGUCUACGGACAGGCUAGAUGACCCUUAGCAUGGAGGGAGAGGACCCCCGACGUCUGUGAGCUCUGCAGUGCUCGUGGUUCCCUCAUGGUGGAGCUGCCGAGUGACCCGCUGGCCUCCCUAAGCUGGGCUUGACCAUAGUACGAAGGAAAGAAAAGGCAUCCCAUGGAUGUCUCCUAGUUCCCUCACUGUGGCCCAGUGUUGUAUAUCAACGCCAUCAUGGAUACACCUCCUGUGGGAGGUGAUUAGGCCAUGAGGGUGGAGCCCUCGUGAAUGGAAUUGGUGCCCUUAUAGAAGGGACCCUGGACCCUGGACCUCCACUCCGCAAGGAUACAGUGAGAAGGCAGAACCCAGCCUCAGGUACACUCAUCUCAGACUUUCAGCCUCCUGAACUGUGAGAAAUAAAUGUUUUUUGUCUGUGGUA